GAUGUUGGUUUAAGUCCCGCAACGAGCGCAACUCCUGCCAUUAGUUGGUACGCAAGAGCACUCUAAUGGGACCGCUACCGACAAGGUGGAGGAAGGUGGGGAUGACGUCAAAUCAUCAUGCCCCUUAUGUUCUGGGCUACACACGUAAUACAAUGGCCGCCAACAAAGAGAAGCAAUACCGCGAGGUGGAGCAAAACUCAAAAAGCGGUCUCAGUUCGGACUGCAGUCUGCAACCCGCCUGCACGAAGUUGGAAUUGCUAGUAAUCGCGGAUCAGCAUGCCGCGGUGAAUACGUUCCCGGGUCUUGUACACACCGCCCGUCACACCAUGGGAGUCGGUAACACCCGAAGUCAGUAGUCUAACCGCAAGGAGGACGCUGCCGAAGGUGGGAUUGACGACUGGGGUGAAGUCGUAACAAGGUAGCCGUAA
rnacentral:rRNA from 1 species